rnacentral:rRNA from 1 species
CACAUGACUCUCGGCAACGGAUAUCUCGGCUCUCGCAUCGAUGAAGAAAGUAGCAAAAUGCGAUACCUGGUGUGAAUUGCAGAAUCCCGCGAACCAUCGAGUUUUUGAACGCAAGUUGCGCCCGAGGCCUUCUGGCCGAGGGCACGUCUGCCUGGGCGUCACG